rnacentral:rRNA from 1 species
AUUGAACGCUGGCGGCAGGCCUAACACAUGCAAGUCGAACGAGACCUUCGGGUCUAGUGGCGGACGGGUGAGUAACACGUGGGAACGUGCCUUUAGGUUCGGAAUAACUCAGGGAAACUUGUGCUAAUACCGAAUGUGCCCUUCGGGGGAAAGAUUUAUCGCCUUUAGAGCGGCCCGCGUCUGAUUAGCUAGUUGGUGAGGUAAUGGCUCACCAAGGCUACGAUCAGUAGCUGGUCUGAGAGGAUGGCCAGCCACAUUGGGACUGAGACACGGCCCAAACUCCUACGGGAGGCAGCAGUGGGGAAUCUUGCGCAAUGGGCGAAAGCCUGACGCAGCCAUGCCGCGUGAAUGAUGAAGGUCUUAGGAUUGUAAAGCUCUUUCACACACGACGAUGAUGACGGUAGUGUGAGAAGAAGCCCCGGCUAACUUCGUGCCAGCAGCCGCCGUAAUAC